UGGGGAAUAUUGGACAAUGGGCGAAAGCCUGAUCCAGCCAUGCCGCGUGUGUGAAGAAGGCCUUAUGGUUGUAAAGCACUUUAAGUGGGGAGGAAAAGCUUGUGGUUAAUACCCAUAAGCCCUGACGUUACCCACAGAAUAAGCACCGGCUAACUCUGUGCCAGCAGCCGCGGUAAUACAGAGGGUGCAAGCGUUAAUCGGAAUUACUGGGCGUAAAGCGCGCGUAGGUGGUUAUUUAAGUCAGAUGUGAAAGCCCCGGGCUUAACCUGGGAACUGCAUCUGAUACUGGAUAACUAGAGUAGGUGAGAGGGGAGUAGAAUUCCAGGUGUAGCGGUGAAAUGCGUAGAGAUCUGGAGGAACACCGAUGGCGAAGGCAGGUUACUGGGCAGUUACUGACGCUGAGGAGCGAAAGCAUGGGUAGCAAACAGGAUUAGAUACCCUGGUAGUCCAUGCCGUAAACGGUGGGCGCUAGGUGUAGGGGCCUUUUGGGGUUUCUGUGCCGUAGCUAACGCAUUAAGCGCCCCGCCUGGGGAGUACGGCCGCAAGGCUA
rnacentral:rRNA from 1 species